rnacentral:rRNA from 3 species
CCAUGCCGAACUCAGAAGUGAAACGCCGUAGCGCCGAUGGUAGUGUGGGGUCUCCCCAUGCGAGAGUAGGGAACUGCCAGGC